rnacentral:rRNA from 1 species
CGUAGGGGGCAAGCGUUGUCCGGAUUUAUUGGGCGUAAAGCGCGCGUAGGCGGCGCGGUAUGUCGUGCGUGAAAUCUCCCGGCUUAACUGGGAGGGCCGUGCGAAACUGCCGGGCUUGAGGUCAGAAGGGGAAAGUGGAAUUCCGGGUGUAGUGGUGGAAUACGUAGAUAUCCGGAGGAACACCAGCGGCGAAGGCGGCUUUCUGGUCUGAUACUGACGCUGAGGCGCGAAAGCGUGGGGAGCGAUCCGGAUUAGAUACCCGGGUAGUCCACGCCGUAAACGAUGAGUACUAGGUGUCGGGGGUAUCGACCCCCUCGGUGCCGGCGCUAACGCAUUAAGUACUCCGCCUGGGGACUACGGCCGCAAGGCUA